rnacentral:tRNA from 1 species
GGCUCAAUGGUCUAGAGGUAUGAUUCUCGCUUUGGGUUACGUCCACGACGUCCAACUCUGUUGCGAGAGGCCCCGGGUUCGAUCCCCGGUUGAGCCC